GACGAACCGUGCGAACGUUGUUCGGAUUCACUGGGCUUAAAGGGCGCGUAGGCGGCCGACCAAGUCGGGGGUGAAAUCUUUCCGCUCAACGGGAAAAUAGCCUCCGAUACUGGCCGGCUCGAGGGAGAUAGGGGUGCGCGGAACUUCCGGUGGAGCGGUGAAAUGCGUAGAUAUCGGAAGGAACGCCGGUGGCGAAAGCGGCGCACUGGAUCUCUACUGACGCUGAGGCGCGAAAGCCAGGGGAGCAAACGGGAUUAGAAACCCCAGUAGUCC
rnacentral:rRNA from 1 species